CCUACGGGAGGCAGCAGUGAGGAAUAUUGGUCAAUGGCCGUAAGGCUGAACCAGCCAAGUAGCGUGAGGGAAGACUGCCCUAUGGGUUGUAAACCUCUUUUGUCGGGGAGCAAAAGCCGGACGUGUCCGGCUGUGAGAGUACCCGAAGAAAAAGCAUCGGCUAACUCCGUGCCAGCAGCCGCGGUAAUACGGAGGAUGCGAGCGUUAUCCGGAUUUCUGGGGGUUAAAGGGUGCGCAGGCGGAUUGUUAAGUCAGCGGUCAAAUCGUGGGGCUCAACCCUAUUCAGCCGUUGAAACUGGGGAUCUAGAGUGUGCGAGAGGUAUGCGGAAUGCGUGGUGUAGCGGUGAAAUGCAUAGAUAUCACGCAGAACCCCGAUUGCGAAGGCAGCAUACCGGUGCACAACUGACGCUCAGGCACGAAAGCGUGGGUAUCGAACAGGAUUAGAUACCCCAGUAGUC
rnacentral:rRNA from 1 species